UACGUAGGUGGCAAGCGUUGUCCGGAAUUAUUGGGCGUAAAGCGCGCGCAGGUGGUUCCUUAAGUCUGAUGUGAAAGCCCACGGCUCAACCGUGGAGGGUCAUUGGAAACUGGGGAACUUGAGUGCAGAAGAGGAAAGUGGAAUUCCAAGUGUAGCGGUGAAAUGCGUAGAGAUUUGGAAGGAACACCAGUGGCGAAGGCGACUUUCUGGUCUGUAACUGACACUGAGCGCGA
rnacentral:rRNA from 1 species